GGGCCCGCACAAGCGGUGGAGCAUGUGGUUUAAUUCGAUGAUACGCGAGGAACCUUACCAGGGCUUAAAUGCAGAACGACAGAGGUGGAAACACCCCCUUCUUCGGACGGACUGCAAGGUGCUGCAUGGUUGUCGUCAGCUCGUGCUGUGAAGUGUCGGGUUAAGUCCCAUAACGAGCGCAACCCCCAUUUCUAGUUGCCCAGCGGUUCGGCCGGGGACUCUAGAGAAACUGCCAGCGUAAGCUGUGAGGAAGGUGGGGAUGACGUCAAAUCAUCACGGCCCUUACAUCCUGGGCCACACACGUGCUACAAUGGUGGGGACAACAGGUUGCCAACCCGCGAGGGUGAGCCAAUCCCAAAACCCAUCUCAGUUCGGAUCGGAGUCUGCAACUCGACUCCGUGAAGUUGGAAUC
rnacentral:rRNA from 1 species